CAGUCGCCGCGGUAAUACGGAGGGUGCAAGCGUUAAUCGGAAUUACUGGGCGUAAAGCGCACGCAGGCGGUCUGUCAAGUCGGAUGUGAAAUCCCCGGGCUCAACCUGGGAACUGCAUUCGAAACUGGCAGGCUGGAGUCUUGUAGAGGGGGGUAGAAUUCCAGGUGUAGCGGUGAAAUGCGUAGAGAUCUGGAGGAAUACCGGUGGCGAAGGCGGCCCCCUGGACAAAGACUGACGCUCAGGUGCGAAAGCGUGGGGAGCAAACAGGAUUAGAUACCCCAGUAGUCCCUGUCUCUUAUAC
rnacentral:rRNA from 1 species